rnacentral:lncRNA from 1 species
GCAGCCAACAGCCUCUGGUACAAGGAAAUACCCUUGGGUUUACUUUUUCCAGAGACUCCAUGUUCUGAGGUAAGAUCGGAACUCUGUGUUUCAUUUGUAUGUCCCCCGACUUCAUUCAACCCAAAACCACUACUUAAACUGGAAGCAUCAGUAUCAAAAGUCACAGAGGCUGCUGCUGCCAGAUUAAUCUCAUGAUUUAUCUGUUAACAGAAGAACAAUACGGAUUAGUGCAUAUCAGAAAGUCAUAAGUAGAGGGAAGUCUAAGUAGCGAUAUCGAGCAACUAUGGUAUUAUUUUACAGUAUUGAACUGUCUGCAUAAUAUCACACUAUGAUCAACUAAAACUCAUGAGAAUUGAGACCUGCUAUGUUACUUUAGAUAUGUCGAUCGCAAGUACACACUAAUAACCAAUGUAAAACUGCAACAAUAUGGAGGAACCAAUUCACAUGUUCCACAAAAUAAAUUGCAUGCUCUUGUAUGCAUGCUCGUCACUCUAACACAAGAAAAUGGAGACAUGUGAUUUCACAUUAAAGAAUAUACAUAUAUAAUGCUCAUCAAGCUUUCAAAAGGUAAUGGGAGAAUAUCCAGCUUCUAGCAAGGCUCUUCACUUGGUCCCUCUCCCCUCGAGGAACAAUUUCCAGAACUCUACAAUGUUUCUACCAAUCUCAUUCGGUGAUUUCAGACUUCAAAUGUAACAUGAUUGGGACAUCACAUUCAGGAGGAACUGCAGUGAUUGGUAUCUUAAGAGGGUAUGUCUCCCUUACAGCUGCUGAGCAACUCCUCCCUUCUCCAGUCUACACCGCACUGUCUCCUAUGGAAAGGACAAGCCAACGGAACAUUCCAGAUCAUGCAACUUGAUCUUAGCAAGCCUAACCCAACUGGCUUUAGAGAAAUCUGAAAGAAUACAGCUUCAUACAAGGUUGUGCGCUUCACAUGGUUAGUGACAACAGAGGCACAUAUGACACAGGCACAGCAAAAUCUACAGAAGAGGGGUUUUCUAUCUUGAAAUAGAUGCCCUUUAUGUGAGGAACAAUCUGAAGAUGUCAAACCACCUUUUCUUGCCUUACAGAAUCACAUACCAGAUCCGGAUCAUGAUGUUUGCCCUAUUGAAAUUAAAAUGGUCUAUGCCUUAUACAACUUUGGAACUGCUCCAGUGCUGUUACAGUACGGGUCUGAGCAGAAGAUUAACAAGUGAAUGAAAUUCCAGUCCAGCGGGUAUUUGGCGGGUCAUUUGGAGCGUUGUUAUUGAAAGUGCAAAGCACAAAAAGAAAAAGAAACAAGGUCCUGGGACUUGAAGCGGAAAGUGAGAAGUGAGUGCAUGCUUCGUUGAAGUGAGAUUCAAGAACCGACCACAUCUCAUUGAGAUCACUUCGCGUAUCAUUACUUGAAGCACACAGCUUCAUCCAAGCAGCAAUAUCUCCUCAUUUUGCAUUGCUUCAGUGCUUUAAGCAACAACGCAAUGACUUUUAAUAACACUCUUUGGAGGAAUUGGAAGAUUAGAAUUCUUUAGGGCAACAAGGAAAACGUAAUUAGUCUCGACCAUAGAUUUGUUGUUUUGCUCACUUUUUGGUGCAACAUGACAGAUGUAGAUAUGUAGAUUGCCAUGCUAGACUUACUAAGUUUGUAACCCAACUUGUAAUGCAACUAAACCCAGAUGUAACUCCUCUUCUACACUCUAUUAUUGUUGGAAAUAUCUAAUACAUUCUUGAAUCAUUACUUAUCAAAAAU